AACGAACGCUGGCGGCAUGCCUAAUACAUGCAAGUCGAACGAUCACUUCGGUGGUAGUGGCGCACGGGUGCGUAACGCGUGGGAAUCUGCCCUUGGGUUCGGAAUAACAUCUGGAAACGGAUGCUAAUACGGGAAGAUGACGUAAGUCCAAAGAUUUAUCGCACAGGGAUGAGCCCGCGUAGGAUUAGAUAGUAGGUGGGGUAAAGGACUACCAAGGCGACGAUCCUUAGCUGGGCUGAGAGGAUGAUCAGCAACACGGGGACUGAGACAAAGCCCAGACUCCUACGGGAGGCAGCAGUAGGGAAUAUUGGACAAUGGGGGCAACCCUGAUCCAGCAAUGCCGCGUGAGUGAUGAAGGCCUUAGGGUUGUAAAGCUCUUUUACCCGGGAUGAGAAUGAAAGUACCGGAAGAAUAAGCCCCAGCUAACUCCGUGCCAGCCGCCGCGGUAA
rnacentral:rRNA from 1 species